rnacentral:lncRNA from 11 species
ACUAUAAAUCCUAGGAGUAGGCCCACAUGUUCCAGCUUCUGGAACAUGGCCAGGCAGCUGAAAAACCUGCAGCAACCCAGCCUCAGGCCCCUCCAUUUCCCCCCUCAGUUGCCAAGUUGGCCCAGGCCUGCCCUGGAGACAUGCCUGGCGAAAUGCUGGGAACAGGGGCGGGUUCCUACCUGCCCCGUCUUCAUGGCUGAGAGGGUCCCCAAGGAGGUGCAUGGCAGGGGCACAGGCCUGCUCGACCUGCCAGAGCUCCUUCCAGCCACGGAGGGCUGCCGGGCGUUGCGAGAGGAAUCCAGGAAGGGUGCAGGUGGAGCAGCAGGCCCAGAGGCCUGGCCUCAGGUGGCAGUACUGAAGAAUUAAUCUGCUGGAGAAUUGUGCUUUGCAUUCAUAUGCUGCAAGGACGUGAAACGCGGAGAAGCAGAAAUGUAACCUUACAGACAGUCACCAGCACUUGUAAUCUUUGGGCAGCUCCCAGAGCUUCAGCAUGCCAACAGAGUUAGGGCCUUAUCACAAAGCCCAGCCAAAGCAUCUCACUUCGCUGAGAAAGUAGAAGGGCAGUGGGGCGAAUCUGUCACCCCACGCAUCGCUCCCUCUUGGCAAUGCUUUCCCCAUCACAUGAAGGAAGCAUCACUCUCCUGGUGAGGCCAUGUGCUGGCUCCAUUAGAUGCAGCACACCAUGGGAGUCGUUCCAUGUUCUGGGGAAAGCUUCUGGUGAUAGUUUUACCCCAGUUGGGGAUGGGGCCUUCACCAGAAGUCACAUGUUGUCAUGUGAUGGCCGGCGUGGGGCUCCGUCUAUUAGAUGGGGUGAAAGUGUCCUAAGACUCUAAAUCCCCUUUUUAACUUUUUAAGUUUGCUAGGGCUUAAAAAACAAUGUUUCAGAUUGUUUUUAAAUUAUUGUAAAUCAUCUUGAAUCCCAUGCUGGCAGAAAGGCUGGAUAUAAAUUAAAUAAAUGAAUAAAUACUUCUACAUAGAUAUCUAUAGGACUAUAUGUAAAAUACCCCAUCUGCGCCAUGAUUCUUUAUUAUCACUAUAAUCAGGCAUUUGUUUU